AUUGAACGCUGGCGGCAGGCUUAACAUAUGCAAGUCGAGCGAGCGGCGGACGGGUGAGUAAGGUAUGGGAAACUGCCUGAUGGAGCGGGAUAACUACUGGAAACGGUAGCUAAUACCCCAUACCAGCAGAUGUGCCCAGAUGGGCUUAGCAUGUCGGUGUGGGAAUGGCUCACCUAGGCGACGAUCCCUAGCUGGUCUGAGCGGAUGACGAGCUACACAGGAACUGAGACACGGUCCAGACUCCUACGGGAGGCAGCAGUGGGGAAUAUUGCACAAUGGGCGCAAGCCUGAUGCAGCCCUGCCGCGUGUGUGAAGAAGGCCUUCGGGUUGUAAGGCACUUGCAGCGAGGAGGCGUUACUCGCAGAAGAAGCACCGGCUAACUCCGUGCCAGCAGCCGCGGUAAUUC
rnacentral:rRNA from 1 species